rnacentral:rRNA from 1 species
AAACCAGCACCUCAAGUGGUCAGGAUGAUUAUUGGGCCUAAAGCAUCCGUAGCCUGUUCUGUAAGUUUCCGGUUAAAUCCAUUAGCUCAACUAAUGGGCCGCCGAAAAUACUGCAAAACUAGGGAGUGGGAGAGGUAGACGGUACUCGGUAGGAAGGGGUAAAAUCCUUUGAUCUAUUGAUGACCACCUGUGGCGAAGGCGGUCUACCAGAACACGUUCGACGGUGAGGGAUGAAAGCUGGGGGAGCAAACCGGAUUAGAAACCCGGGUAGUCC